rnacentral:rRNA from 1 species
UACGUAGGGUGCGAGCGUUGUCCGGAAUUAUUGGGCGUAAAGAGCUCGUAGGCGGUGGGUUACGUCGGCCGUGAAAACCUGCAGCUUAACUGUGGGCGUGCGGUCGAUACGGGCAUCACUGGAGUUCGGCAGGGGAGACUGGAAUUCCUGGUGUAGCGGUGAAAUGCGCAGAUAUCAGGAGGAACACCGGUGGCGAAGGCGGGUCUCUGGGCCGAUACUGACGCUGAGGAGCGAAAGCGUGGGGAGCAAACAGG